rnacentral:rRNA from 1 species
GCGGCGGACGGGUGAGUAACACGUGGGCAACCUGCCCUGCAGACUGGGAUAACUUCGGGAAACCGGAGCUAAUACCGGAUAACACCGAAAACCGCAUGGUUUUCGGUUGAAAGGCGGCUUUUAGCUGUCACUGCAGGAUGGGCCCGCGGCGCAUUAGCUAGUUGGUGAGGUAACGGCUCACCAAGGCGACGAUGCGUAGCCGACCUGAGAGGGUGACCGGCCACACUGGGACUGAGACACGGCCCAGACUCCUACGGGAGGCAGCAGUAGGGAAUCUUCCGCAAUGGACGAAAGUCUGACGGAGCAACGCCGCGUGAGCGAAGAAGGUCUUCGGAUCGUAAAGCUCUGUUGUCAGGGAAGAACAAGUACCGUUCGAACAGGGCGGUACCUUGACAGUACCUGACAAAGAAGCCACGGCUAACUACAUGCCACCACCCGCGGUAAUAC